rnacentral:rRNA from 1 species
AACGAACGCUGGCGGCAUGCCUAACACAUGCAAGUCGAACGAGACCUUCGGGUCUAGUGGCGCACGGGUUCGUAACGCGUCGGAACCUGCCCUUAUGGUCGGAAUAACUCCCCGAAAGGGGUGCUAAUACCGGAUAAUGUCUUCGGACCAAAGAUUUAUCGACUUUGGAUGGGCCCGCGUUGGAUUCGCUAGUUGGUAGGGUAAAAGCCUACCAAGGCGACGAUCCAUAGCUGGUCUGAGAGGAUGAUCAGCCACACUGGGACUGAGACACGGCCCAGACUCCUACGCGAGGCAGCAGUGGGGAAUAUUGGACAAUGGGCGAAAGCCUGAUCCAGCAAUGCCGCGUGAGUGCUGAAGGCCUUAGGGUUGUAAAGCUCUUUUACCCGGGAUGAUAAUGACAGUACCGGGAGAAUAAGCUCCGGCUAACUCCGUG